CCAGCCCUCGCUCGGGAGCGCUGGCAGCCGCCAGCCGGCCCUGCACGGGGAGCCGGCGAGCGUGUUGGAAGAGGAGAAGACAAACAACGCCGGGGAACCGGGUUACGGGAGGAAGGCAUUUGCUCGAGACUAAUUGAAUUUUCUGCCCGUGGAGAGAAAGACACGACACAGAGAACAGGUCCCUGUUCAUCUUCUGGCGGUGGCACGCGGAGGUUUGGUGCGCUACAUGUCCAUAAAAAGAGCUCCUGUUCCUGCAAGCAGCACCCUCAAGUCAGCCGCAAAGGCUGUGCAACCCCUUUGGUCCCUCCAGACCUCUCCAGGGAUGGGACCUCAGCGCCAGGCCCGCAGGGCUCAUGGGAGCAGGCGAAGUCCAGCAGCGCGUGGCACCAGCCCAGCAAACAGCCACCGCAGGGCUCUUUGCGGCCGAGCGGCCAGACCUGAGCCGUGAAGCCUGCUGGCGUUGUGCUCUCUGCACCAUCGCGCCGAGCUGCAGGAAGCCCCGGCGUCGGCCCGCUCACAGCUCAACUUGCCGGCUGCUCC
rnacentral:lncRNA from 1 species